rnacentral:rRNA from 1 species
AUUUUUAAGACGUAAUUUAAAACAAAACCUGCUCAAUGAUAAAUUAAAUAGCUGCAGAUUUCUGUACUAAGGUAGCAUAAUAAUUAGCCUUUUAAUUAAAGGAUAGAAUGAAUGGUUAAACGAGAUAUAAACUGUAUCUUACACUAUAGUAAACUUAUAAUUUAAAGUAAAAAUACCUUAACUAAUAAGAAAGACAACAAGACCCUAAUAAACUUAAAAAUUCGGCUGGGGAGGCAAUAAAAAAAAACCUUAAUAAAAAAUAACACAUAACUUUUAUAAAAAAUAUUAGUUACUAUAGGGAUAACAGCGCAACUUUAGUUUAAAGCUCACAUAAAAACUAAACCCUACGACCUCGAUGUUGAAUUAAUUUAACUGUUUAAAGCAAUAUUUAAAAAAGAUAGUCUGUUCGACUAAUAAUAAAUU